rnacentral:rRNA from 1 species
ACUAAAUAGCUAGCUCAAAACACUAAAGACAAAAUUAACAACAUAAUCUAAACCAUCAAAAACUAAAAACAAAAACUAAACCAUUCGACCACCCCAGUAUGGGCGACAGAAAAGGACCAAUGAAGCUAUAGAAAAA